ACAGCAGGCCGGCUUGUCGCCCAAAGGGGAGGAAAGUCCGGACAACACAGAGCACUGCGCUUCUUAACGGGAAGGUGGCUGUAAAGUCACGAAGGUGUAGCAGAAAAUUACCGCCUUUAGAGGUAAGGGUGAAAAGGUGGGGUAAGAGCCCACCGGAUCUUGUGGUGACAUGAGGUGCCGUACACCCCGCAGGUUGCAAGACCAUGUAUAUCGCGGUACUCAUUUGAGUACGGAAUGGCUCGUUCCGGUUCUUUUUACAGAUGCCGCGAAGGGUAGGUCGCUAAAGGGAUUAGGUAACUGGUUCCGCAGAUCAAUGACAAGCCCCUUUUUAUCAGGGACAGAAUCCGGCUUACAGGCUUGCUGUUUUU
rnacentral:RNase_P_RNA from 1 species